CGCAUUUUUCGAACUAAAGAGAAAGAGAAGGAAAAAAAAAGGAAAGAAAAAAAAUGGCCACCGGUAGCCUUGGCCUCUCCACCUCCUUCCUCCCCGGCCACGACACCCUCCUCCGCCGCCGGCGCCGGCGGACGCUGCCGGCGGCGUCGUUCCGCCCGGUGACGGCGGAGCUCGGCGGCGAGAUGGGGCGGCAGCUGGUGGAGGCGGUCGGGGUGGGGCUCCCCUGCACGGUGAUGGCGUGCGGCGACGUCAUCUACCGCAGCACGCUCCCGCGCAACGACGGGCUCACCAUCACCGCCCCGGGCGUGGCGCUCGCGCUCGCCGCCGUGUCCUACCUCUGGUCCACCCCCGGCGUCGCGCCGGGCUUCUUCGACAUGUUCGUCCUCGCCUUCGCCGAGCGCGUCUUCCGCCCUUCCUUCCGCAAGGAUGAUUUCGUGCUCGGGAAGAAGCUCGGGGAGGGCGCGUUCGGAGUCGUCUACAAGGCGUCGGUGGCUGACCCCAAAGCGGCGGAGAAGCAAGGUGAUGUUGUUGUGAAGAAGGCAACAGAGUAUGGUGCAGUGGAGAUAUGGAUGAACGAGCGCGUCAGGAGGGCCUGUGCCAGCAGCUGUGCGGAUUUUAUUUAUGGCUUUCGUGAGAGCAAAGCUAAAGGUAAGGGGGCUGAUGAAUACUGGCUCAUUUGGCGCUAUGAAGGUGAGGAUACACUUUUCGAUCUCAUGCAGAGCAAGGAGUUCCCUUACAAUGUUGAGACAAAGAUUCUUGGAGAUGUUCAAAACCUGCCAAAGGGAGUAGCAAGGGAGAACAAGAUUAUUCAAACAGUAAUGAGACAGCUUUUAUUUGCUGUUGAUGGGCUUCAUUCAACUGGGAUUGUUCACAGAGACAUAAAACCCCAAAAUGUGAUAUUUUCAGAAGGAUCUCGCACCUUCAAAAUCAUCGAUCUUGGAGCAGCUGCUGAUUUGCGAGUAGGAAUCAACUAUAUUCCUAGCGAGUUCCUUUUAGAUCCAAGGUAUGCUGCACCAGAGCAAUAUAUAAUGAGCACACAAACGCCUUCUGCUCCCUCUGCUCCAGUUGCAACUGCAUUAUCUCCAGUCCUUUGGCAGUUGAACCUUCCUGACAGAUUUGACAUAUAUAGCCUGGGCCUCAUAUUCUUGCAAAUGGCAUUUCCAUCAUUGAGAACAGACAGCAGCCUCAUACAAUUUAACCGCCAACUGAAGAGGUGCAACUACGACUUAGAAGCUUGGAGGAAUUUGGUAGAGCCACGAGCUACUCCAGAGCUCCGAAGGGGCUUUGACAUCUUGGAUUUAGAUGGUGGUAUUGGAUGGGAACUUCUCACAUCUAUGGUCCGGUACAAAGCACGGCAAAGGACUGCUGCUAAGGCUGCAUUAGCACAUCCAUAUUUCAACCGUGAGGGGCUCCUUGGCCUCUCUGUAAUGCAAAACUUGAGGUUGCAACUGCUUCGUGCAACCCAGAAAGACUACAGUGAAGCAGCCCGUUGGGUCAUCGGCCUCAUGGCAAGAUCAGGAACAGAAACUGAAGGAGGUUUUACAGAGGCACAGCUUCAAGAACUUAGGGAAAUUAAACCAAAGAAAGGCGGUGCACGGAGGAACUUGCUUGCUUCCGUGUUGCGUGUGCAGAGAAAGAUCGUGAGGACAAUCAACGAAAGCAUGGAUGAGCUUAGCAGCCAGAGCAAAAGCAUUUGGUGGAGCCGUUGGAUACCAAAGGAGGAGUAGGCACAGACGCAGCUCUGUGCCUCUCUGUACAUCACCCCAUUUCUUCUGUAAAAACCUCGCCCUGCAGCAAUGGUGUACAUAUAUUUGACAUGGAAGCAAAUUUUCAGAGACCCUUAUCAUAAGGUCAUAACAGGUCACCUGUACUUGAUUAAUCGUGAUGGAUUGAUUGCUGCUCGGGAAGUGUCUUCAUCAUGUGGAACUCCUACCAAGAGACCCAUGGCAGGUGGUCAUAAUGAUUAAUGAAUCCUCAUAAGUGGAACUGAACCUCGUGAUGGCUUAUGGAGUGAUUGAAACCAUGUUUGGGGAGCUUUUGGCAAGUGGAAAUUUUUCUAGAAUCUCUUUCAACCAAACAAUCCAGACUGUUGUAGUUGUAGAUCUAGAAAAACUAAAGUCAAAAACUGAAAAAACAAGUUCUUUGUUUUCUU